AUAAAAAGCAGGUUUGGCUCUCUUAAAGUUACACUGACUAUACCACACAUCAUUCUCCUGAUUCAUAUGAUUGGGAAUAUUUAAAAAUUCUCAGGUAAGCUAUAGCUCAAUGUCAGUACAAGAGGGAAAGAUUUAAAAUCAUGGACAUGGGUUGAGAUACAAGAGAUAUUCAAUUGCCUUUCCUCAUUCAUAUAUGUUUGAACUCUCUACUUAGGAUAAAAUGGGCCAUUCAGCACAUGCAGCAGUACUUUGCAGAAAGUUGGUUCUCUAAUGGAGAUAGAUUUUUUCCAAAGGACACAUUUUCUUUGGAUUAGUUUCUUAAAUCAGUAGUUGAGAACCCAUAAAUGAAACAUACUUGGUUGAGAUAAUACAUUCUGUUAGGCCAGGUUUUAAACAGGGGAGUAGUGCAUAGAAACAAGAAUGUCAUGAUUCUUGUUUUAAAUGUUAUUUUUUGAGAUUUGAUUAUUUGAGUCUUUUUUGAUUUUGUGGAUUUUUAGUUAUAGUUGCAAAAGCUUUAUUUUUUAUUGCACGUUCAUUGUAAAAAAUUCUGAAAAUUCAAAUAAGAUUGAACAAUAAUUGACAAAACAAGCCCUAAACUAUUCUUGGGGAAAAUUAAAACCCGUUUAAAAGAAACAUCAUACAAUAUUAUGUUAAAUGCCUCCUAUAACUACCAAAUUAAAUUUUCAAACAAAUUCAACAUUAUUGUGUUAAAUCAGAUAAUGGAAAGUUCAUUUUAUCACCAAAUGAAAUAGUGGUUUAAAUAUUUGCUAAGGAUUUCAGAUAUAUCAUUAGGUGCUGGAUAUCUGGUGGGAUGUGAAUGCAAAGACAUGGUUAUUUGCCAUAGAUCAGUAGUCACAUAGUUUUUCAGUGAGUUUUUUUAAAAAUUGAUUUUAGAGAGGAAUAGAGAGAGAGAAAAUCAAUGUGAGAAACAUCGAUUAGUUGCUUCCCUUACACACUCUGACCCACCACCUUUUUGUUUAUGGGACGACACUCCAACCAACUCAGCCACACCAGCCAGGGCUCAGUGAGUUUUUAAAUGAUCUUGUAAUGUACUGGAGAAAGGGACUAUCUUAAUUGACCAUUAAAAGGUUAUAUUUUUUACAGUAAUAUGAACUAUGUGAAGUAGAUAUGUCCUUGUCAGGUACCAAUUCCAAUAUUUAUGUAUUUCGUAACUCCUUUUGCUUGAUCGCUCCUAGUAAGGAUUGUCAUUCCACCUAUAAUUCUUUUUGAUUGUACUCUAUGAAAGAAAGGUUUUGAGGCAGUGGACUUGGUUAACAUGGACAUCUAUUUUGUGUACUUGUUUUUAUCUACAGAAUUAAGAUGGAAAAGAUACUUAAGCAUUAAAUCAGUGCUUUAAACCUUUUUUUUUUUUUUAAAUCACUAUCUUCUCCAAGGAGCCAUUUAAGACCAUUUUAGCCCUUCCAAGAACCAUUUUUGCUCCCUUUGAAAAUGCGUACAUAUUUUUUUAAAGUAUUGAAUGGCUUUGUUUAUUUUUAAAUUAUUUUUUUAUUGAUUUCAGAGAGGGCGGGAGAGAUAGAAACAUCAAUGAUGAGAGAGAACCACUGAUUGGCUGCCUCCUACAUGCCCCCUACUGCAGAUUGUCGCUGCAACUCGGGCCUGUGCCCUUGAUGGGAAUCGAACCCAGGACCUUCAAUUCACAGGCCGACACUCUAUCCAUUUAGCCAAACCAGCCGGGGUCAUAUGUUACUUCUAUUUGACUUAGUGUUUGUGUAGGCUGUACUUGAUAAAAUAGGCUAGACUUCUGAAAUGUAUUUGAUGUUAUUCCAUGAUUGCAGAUUUUGGGUUUAUUUGGAGAUUUUUUGUUUUUGUAUGAAUAUAUUUAUAUUCAUGUUCAGUGAUUUGAAAAUAAAAGGUCUCUUCAUUAUCUGAUGUGUCUCACCAACUUACGUACUGAAGUUGAAUUGCCCUUUUUUAAAAUUCCUAAUGUUGACUGAGUGCCUGGCAAUUAGUAGGUGCUCACUAAAAGUUUGUUAAAUGAAUUAAAGAAUGAAUAAUUGGGGCCCUAAGAGGAAGGAUGCCCUGUAAUUUCUAAGUCAGAUGGAGGUUGCAGGGCAGCAGUUUUGUUAUACUCUUGGAGGAACUUACUUCAGUAUUGCUGAGAGAUCUAGAUCUAAAUAAAGCUUUCUUUGAUUUUCCUAUUUUUGUGGGAAGUUGUCAACUUUGAUUUUGUGGGCAGAGAUAAUCUUGUGAUUUAGAAAUAAGUCCUAUAACAAAUCUGGAAAUGGAGUAAGAGAUUUGGGGCCAUCAUUAUGUCAUUGUCAUUUAUACUAUUCAGUAUGGGAUUGUGCUUCAUAAUGGUAGUGAUUAAUCCACAUUAUUCAAGGUUGGGAUACCUGCUACAAUUAAUUGAUGUUGCCAGAUCAUUCAGUUAUUCUUUAGAGUUAUCAGCUUGUUUUCUUGGUAAAUACUUAUGGACAAGUUUAAGUGACUAUGUGAUAAUGUCUGAAUUUCUGAAUAAAUGGAAUAGAUUUAAGGAGGAUGAAGAUCCUUUGGGUAUUGAUAAGAUGGUACUUAGCAGUAAAUCAGUGGUUCUUCUGUGCUGCUUUUGUAUACAAAUAGCUCCUUUAACUAUCUUAGACAUCUUUUUUUAAGCUGAUUUUUAAAAAUUGAUUUGAGAGAGCCCGGCCAGUGUGGUUCAGUGGUUGAGUGUCGACCCAGGAACCAGGAGGUCACAGGUUCGAUUCCUGGUUGUGUGCUUGAACUGCAGUAGGGAUGUGCAGGAGGCAACCGAUAGAUGAUGUUUUCCUCUCAUUGAUGUUUAAACUCUAUCCCUUUCCCUUUCUCUCUCUCUCUCUCAAAUAUCAAUAAAAUCAUUUUUUAAAAAUUGAUUUAAGAGAAGCAUCAAUUUGUUGUUCCACUUAUUUAUGCAUUCAUUGGUUGCUUCUUAUAUGUGCUCUGAUCAGGGAUCGAACCUACAAUGUUGGCAUAUUGGGACAACCCUCUAACUAAUUGCGCUACCUGGCCAGCGCUAAGCUGAUUUCUUUAAGGUAUAAUUAUAUUAGUUUCAAAUAUACAACAUAAUGAUUCAGUAUUUAUAUAUAUUGGGAAAUGAUCACCACAGUAAGUACAGUUAAUACCUGUCACCAUACAUAGUUACAAAAUUUCUUUUUCUUGUGAUGAGAACUUUUAUGAUUUACUCAGCAACUUUCAAAUAUGCAAUACAGUAUUAUUAAAUUUAGUCACCAUGCUGUACAUUAUAUCCAUAUGACUUAUAACCAGAAAUUUGCAGUUUUGAACCCCCCCCCCUUUUACCUGUUUCACUUAUUCCCCCACCUCUAGCAACCACUGAUUUGUUCUAUCAUGAGUUCACUUUUUAUUGUCUUUUUUUGGAUUCUACAUAUAAGUGAGACCAUGUUGCAUUUGUAUUUUUCUGUCUUUUUUCACUUAGCAUAAUGCUCCCAAAUUUUAUCUUGUUGAUGACCAGAUUUUAUUGUAUUUUUAUCUCAAUAAUAUUCUGUCCAUAUGUGUGUGUAUGUGUGUGUAUCUAUCUAUAUAUAUAUAUAUAUAUAUAUAUAUAUAUAUAUAUAUAUAUAUAUAUAUAUAUGGAUACACACACAUUUUCUUUAUACUUUUAUCCAUCUUUGGACACUUAGGUUGGUUCCAUAUCUUGGCUAUCUAUCUAUAUAUAUAAAAGCCCAAGUAACCGUUCUACCGGUAGCUAUGACGUGCACUGACCACCAGGGAGCAGACUCUCUGACUGGUAGGUUAGCUUGCUGCUGGGGUCCGGCCGAUCAGGACUGGGUCAGAUGGGCCAGACACGCCCUGGAGCCCCCCCCCACCCCACCCCCGCAGUCCCUCUCCAGUCCUGAUCGUGCACUGGUGGAUCCCUCGGCCUGACCUGUGCCCUCUCUCAAUCCAGGACCCUUGGGGAAUGUCCACAGACCAGGCUGAGGAACCCCACUGGUGCACGAAUUCGUGCACUGGGCCUCUAGUCAUAAAUAAUGAACAUGGGGAUACAUAUAUUUUUUGAGGCAGUUUUUUCAUUUUCUUUGGAUAAAUAUCUGCAAGUGUAAUUGCUGGGCUGUAUGACAGUUCUACUUCAAAUGUUUUGAGGAACUUUGAUACUGAUUUCCAUAGUGGUUACACCGUACAUUUCCACCAACAGCGCACAAUGGUGCCCUUUCUUCCACUUCCUUGCCAAUACUUGUUUCUUGCCUUUUUUGAUGUUGGCCAUUCUAACAGGUGUGAGGUGAUAAUUUAUGUGGUUUUGAUUUGCAUUUUACUGGUAAUUAGUGAUGUUGAGCACCUUUUUUGUGUACCUGUUGGCCAAAUGUAAAAUGUCUAUUCAGAUUCUCUGCCCAUUUUCUAAUCAGAUUUUUUUUUUUUUUGCUAUUGAAUUGAAUUAUUUCUUCAUGAAUUUUGGAUAUUAACCAUUUAUUCAGAUGUAUGAUCUGCACAUAUUUUCUCCCAUGCAGUAGGUUGCCUUUCAUUUUAUUGAUGGUUUCCUUUGCUAUAUAGAAGCUUUUUAGUUUGAUGUAGUCCCACUUGAUUAGUUUUGCUUUUGUUGCCUUUGCUUUUGGUGUCAGAUCCAAAAAAUCAUCGCCAAGAUAGAUAUCAGGGAGAUUACCAAAUAUGCUUUCUUAUAGGAAUUAGUUGGUUUCAGGUCAUAUGCUUUCUUAUAGGAAUUAGUUGGUUUCAGGUCUUACGUUUUAAGUCUUUUUAAUCCAUUUUGUGUAUGAUGUAAGAUAGUGGUCCAUUUUGAUUCUUUAGCAUGUGGCUGUCCAGUUUUCCCAAUAUCAUUCAUUAAAGAGACUGUCCUUUCCCAUUCGUAUAUUCUUGAUUCCUUUGUUGUAAAUUAAUUGAUCAUUAAUUGUUCUUAAUUUUAAAAAUUGUUUUGAAAUGACAGAGGUGAUAAACUUUGUCAGUAAGAAUCUGAGGAAAUGUGUGGUAUAAACAGUGUAAGUUGGGACUUAUUUCCCUCCUGUGGGUUUGAGGUAGUUCACAAAUAUUUUGUUUUCUGCUGUUUAUGGGGAUGGUUGCUACUUUCUGGUUAAAUUUUAACUCAAAAAGAAUAUCUCCAAGUACAUUUUUUUUCUUAAAUAUAGUUUUAUUGCUUUCAGAAAGGAAGGGAGAGGGCGAUAAAAAUAUCAGUGAUGAUUUAUUACCCAAAUAUUUUGACAUUUUGCAAGGUUGGCUGCCUCCUGCAUGCCCCCUACUGGGGAUUGAGCCCUCAACCUGGGCAUGUGCUCUGACCUGGAAUCGAACCGUGACCUCCUGGUUCAUAGGUAUACAUAAAACCACUGAGCCAUGCCAGCCAAGCCAUUCUUUUUUUCUAAAAGGAUUGUGCUUGAGUAGGCAGUACUCCAUUUUUGUAGCGAAGCUAUUAAUUAGCACAAUUGAAAAGUUUUAAUAAAUGUAUGAAUUAAAUCUAUUAAGAUGAAGUCAGAUUACUGCUUGGAUUUUUAAAUGACUUUAGAAAUAUGUUCUCAAAUUGUUUAAAUUCUUCAACUUUUUUCUUAAUCUUUUUUAUUGAGAUAAUAAUCCAACUAUUGACCUGACAAUGUAUAAUCUUAGUAGGUGAUACUGUCAUAUAUUCCAAGAUACUCUGUUUAUUCUAUAAAUCUUUUGUAUUUGUUCCUCUCCAUGAUAUCUUUAAAAAAGACUUUCAAGUAUUUUACCAACAAGGUUUGCUGGCCAAUGAUUGAUUAUUGUUUUCCUCUUAUGAAAGAGAUUAAUGAUAUGUUUUAUUAGUUUUUUUUGUUGGUACGUAGCUCCAAAAAGAGUGCAGAAACAGUGUGGACACAUCUGAACAAAAGAGAAAUAAUAGCAGUACUGUGAUGUAUGUGUGUUUGUGGGGAGAUCUAUGGAAUUUACGGGGGCAUCAGGAGUUUUCUAAAUGAUGGGUCAUAGUGAAGGAGGAUGGUGUGUUUAACUCUCCAUUAUCUCUUUGAAACAAUUUAAUUCAAGAAAAGUUUAUGAAUGGUUCUUUUCUUUUUAAUAUCAGCUAGCUGAAUACUUGAGUGCUCCUAUGAGCUGAUUGAAUAUGACACCAUUAAGGCUUCUCAUGUGUGAUCAGCUACUUUUUAUUAUCCAUGUAAUGUCCAUUUGUUCAAAACAAAAGUUGCUUUAGAGAUUUUUAUUUUUUUAAACCUAUUUUUGUUGAUUUCAGAGAGGAAGGGAGAGGGAUAGAGAGAUAGAAACAUCAAUGAUGAGAAUCAUUGAUUGGCUGCCUCCUGCACGCCCCCCUACGCAACCCAGGCAUGUGUCCUUGGCCGGAAUCGAACCUGGGACCCUUUAGUCCGCAGGCCAACACUCUGUCCAUUGAGCCAAACUGGCUAGGGCGCUUAAGAGAUUUUUGUAGGUAAUUUUCCCCUUAGCAAGAAACUUUAGAUUCAGUGAAGUGUGUUUAUUUGUUGACUGUCUUAUUUUUUAGUGAAAGUUUGAGGGAAUGAAUUUUUUU